AACGAACGCUGGCGGCAUGCCUAACACAUGCAAGUCGAACGGGAUCCGGACUUCGGUCCGGUGAGAGUGGCGGACGGGUGAGUAACACGUGGGAACCUGCCUUUUGGUUCGGGAUAACCGCGGGAAACUGCGGCUAAUACCGGAUGCUCCCGAGAGGGAAAAGAUUUAUCGCCAGAAGAGGGGCCCGCGUCCGAUUAGGUAGUUGGUGGGGUAAUGGCCUACCAAGCCGACGAUCGGUAGCUGGUCUGAGAGGAUGAUCAGCCACACUGGGACUGAGAUACGGCCCAGACUCCUACGGGAGGCAGCAGUGGGGAAUAUUGGACAAUGGGGGGCAACCCUGAUCCAGCAAUGUCGCGUGAGUGAUGAAGGCCUUAGGGUUGUAAAGCUCUUUUGCCAGGGAAGAUGAUGACUGUACCUGGAGAAUAAGCUCCGGCUAACUCCGUGCCAGCAGCCGCGGUAAU
rnacentral:rRNA from 1 species